CCUGAACAUAGGGCAUUAAUAUAAUUUGGAUUGAUUUUCUCAUGUCUCAUAAGAGAUUGUGGCAUCUGUAUAGCAUUUUCCUCUUCCUUAUAUCAUGGCAACAAGCAAGUUAACAAUCGAUGGUGUUCUUCAAAACCUCUGGAAGAAGAAAAUCACCUACUGUUAUGUCUGUUGAAAGGAUCGUUGAUGCUCAUUGUAGGGG